rnacentral:rRNA from 1 species
CUUACCAUGCAAGUCGAGCGGUAAGGCCCUUCGGGGUACACGAGCGGCGAACGGGUGAGUAACACGUGGGUGACCUGCCCUCCACUCUGGGAUAAGCCCGGGAAACUGGGUCUAAUACCGGAUAGGACCUCUGGAUGCAUGUCUGGUGGUGGAAAGUUUUUCGGUGGGGGAUGGGCCCGCGGUCUAUCAGCUUGUUGGUGGGGUGAUGGCCUACCAAGGCGACGACGGAUAGCCGGCCUGAGAGGGUGAUCGGCCACACUGGGACUGAGACACGGCCCAGACUCCUACGGGAGGCAGCAGUGGGGAAUCUUGCGCAAUGGGCGGAAGCCUGACGCAGCAACGCCGCGUGGGGGAUGACGGCCUUCGGGUUGUAAACCCCUUUCGCGAUCGACGAAGCCGCACUUUCUGGGUGUGGUGACGGUAGGUCGAGAAGAAGCACCGGCCAACUACGUGCCAGCAGCCGCGGUAAUACGUAGGGUGCGAGCGUUGUCCGGAAUUAUUGGGCGUAAAGAGCUCGUAGGCGGUGUGUCGCGUCGGCCGUGAAAACCUGGGGCUCAACUCUGGGCGUGCGGUCGAUACGGGCAUCACUUGAGUUCGGCAGGGGAGACUGGAAUUCCUGGUGUAGCGGUGAAAUGCGCAGAUAUCAGGAGGAACACCGGUGGCGAAGGCGGGUCUCUGGGCCGAUACUGACGCUGAGGAGCGAAAGCAUGGGUAGCGAACAGGAUUAGAUACCCUGGUAGUCCAUGCCGUAAACGUUGGGCGCUAGGUGUGGGGUCCAUUCCACGGAUUCCGUGCCGCAGCUAACG